UACGGAGGGAGCUAGCGUUGUUCGGAAUUACUGGGCGUAAAGCGCGCGUAGGCGGUUUUUCAAGUCAGAGGUGAAAGCCCGGGGCUCAACCCCGGAAUAGCCUUUGAAACUGGAAGACUUGAAUCUUGGAGAGGUCAGUGGAAUUCCGAGUGUAGAGGUGAAAUUCGUAGAUAUUCGGAAGAACACCAGUGGCGAAGGCGACUGACUGGACAAGUAUUGACGCUGAGGUGCGAAAGCGUGGGGAGCAAACAGG
rnacentral:rRNA from 1 species